rnacentral:tRNA from 1 species
GGCAGUGUAGCUUAGUGGGUAAAGCAAUCGCUUUUGCAAGGCGAGAGACAACCGUUUGAUUCGGUUCGCUGCCACCA